rnacentral:tRNA from 1 species
UCCGCGGUAGCUCAACGGUAGAGCAAUCGGCUGUUAACCGAUCGGCUGUAGGUUCGAAUCCUACCCGCGGAGCCA